GGGCGCGCUCCUCCCCCCGCGGCCCUCCGCUGGCCCCUCCCGCCCCCGCGUCCUCCCCCUGCGUCCCCAGCCUGCGCCACUCCCACUGGGAUCACGGGCGGCCGGGAUCGCUGAGCGCCCUGCACUGAGAGCCCGGAGGGGAAAGGCGCCGUCCAGGGGGACCUACCGGCCAGGACUUGGCAGGGACGUCCACGGGGGCCGGAAGAGAGGAAGGAAAAGCGGUUCCUGCUUUCCCAUUUCUGGAUGUCUGAUGGACUCACUCCUGGGAACCUGCCCCGGGCCAGCCCCUCCAACCAGGUAAACCAAGUCCUGUCUCAUUACUGUGCGUGCAGGAGCCCUCGAGGUUCUGUCCCCCACUUCACCCUGGGGACCGUUUGCCCCCAUAGCCUGGGGCUUUGCAGCUGCCAGCCCCCUUCACCCCAGCCUGCACAAGUCCUCUUCCAGGCCUUUCCGGGGGACAGAAAAGAAUGGCCGCUGGCUGGAAAGGGUUACCCAAGUGACCACCAAGGGCCUUUCACACUCCAGAGUUCGAGGAUUCUAUGGCACCUUCGACGCUGAACAGGCAUCCACCAAGAUUUCCGGAGGAGUUCCCUUCUGGAACACCUCAGCCCCAGAGAAUCUGGUACCAGGAAUUGCAGUGCAGCUCUUGCCAGCCAAGCCUGCUCGCCACACGCUGAGGAAGCAACUAAGUUCUGUAACUUGCAACAGCAGUUUCUUUUUAGAUAUGUGAAAACUUGGGGAAAAUCCUAAAAUAUGUGUGUGUGGUUGGUUGGAAGGGAGUGGAAGAUUUUUAAUUUUUUUUCUUGGGUUUUUCACAUUUUUGUAAUUUUAGAGAUUAAUUUUUUCACCACUGACCCCCUGCUUCUCCCUCCACCCCAGUGCUGCUUCUCUCAUUUCUUGCAGGUCCUCACAUCACAAUUUCCUUUGUAUCUAAGAAUGCCGCAUGCCAUGUGUCUAAACGUGUGGAAGCUGUAGUCAGGCUUACAAACAGUCACAGGGAAUACAUUGUCUCUUCCUACCUUAAAAAUGUACCAUCGUCUCUGGAAGGCCAGGUUGCAAGUUAGAGUUCUCAGAACCUAUGGUGAUUAUCACAGAAUGGCUAUGGGGACAGCUGGCCCUGAGCCCCCAGCCCCUUUUGUUCACCCCGUUCUCUUUCUUCCCUCCCGCCAACUCUGCCUUGCCCUGGAAAUGGUGUCCCUCACACACAGGCCUGGGCAGCUGGGACCUCCCAUUCUGACUGGUCCUCACUCUCCCCCAGCCUCACCCCUGGGUGCACAUUGGCAUUGCUGUCAACCAUGUGGGGAGAGCCUGGAAGCUUCUGAGGUCCUGGUACCAAAACCUGGUCCAGAGGUGGUGCCGUGGGUGCCCCGGGUGAGGGCUGCAGCCUUUUAUUUACACACAGCCAAGCUAACAGGACAACCUAAGGAUUAAUAAUUGUGGGAGUAACUACUUCAGUACUUUCUUGCUAUUGGAGCUUCUGAGGAAUUAAGGAAGGAGUUGCUUCACCUCUCUUCAAAUUCCUUAGAAGCAGUAUUUUGUCUGGCAUUGCUUAAGGCUGUUAUCUUCAUUCUCCUCCAUGUGGCUUCUCCAGAAGGCUAGCUUAAGGAUCUUUCACAUGGUGACUGGAUUUCAAGAGGUCAAGUGCAGUAGCUUUAAAGAUCUCUUGAUGGUUGGGCUCAGAUGUUGCACACUGUUACUUCAGUCACAUUCCUUAUGUCAAAGCAAGUCGCAAGGUCAGCCCAGAUUCAAGGUGUGGAUAAAUAAGCUGCACUGCUUGAGGGAAGGAUCUGCAAAUCAAAUUUCAAAAAAAGGCCAUAAUAAAAAGGCCACCAUUUUUUUCAAUUUCAGCAGUUUCCAUCAGAAGCUCAAUUGCCUUUUUGUUCCAAUUAUCCUUACUACUCGGGCUAUCAAAUCUUUCUUUGGUUCCUAUAAUGAUUAUAGCCUUAUUAUAGUAAAAGGAUCCAAAUCAGAAGCCAAAAGGAUGCACAGGGUGGGAUCUGGGAGGGUCUCAAAUGCAGGUUUCCAUGUGCUCUCCGCAUGAGUCAGAACUCACCCUCCUGGCAUAGCAGCCAUGUAUCUUCUCAAUCAUGGAAGCUCAGUGGGGCUUCAAGUGUCCUGGGUUUAUGUGGGGUCUUAUUAGGUAGGCAUGAUUGAUAGAAUCAAUGUCCCCAACCCCCUAAUAACCUGUGUGAUCUUUCAGAGUGCCCAGCUUCCACCCAAAGAUCGGCUGCAGCAUUUUGAGUGUUAAGCCGGGUCAGGCCCCUGCAGCGGCCUCAUGCAAGGCCUUGGAGCUUUGCAUAAGCCCAAGACCCAGGGCUGCCAUCUCCACCUCCCCCAGUCCCCUGUCUGGCUUAUUUCUUCCGUGCCUUUUAUCAGUCUUUCUUCUCAGAAUGCCCUCUUCUGUUGCGUCCAUUUUUAUCCUGGUCUCUGCCUAAGCACUGGUAUUUAAGAUACCCAGAACCCAGGAGAGGGCUACUGAAAGUCAACUCCAUCCUGCCUGUUUCUGGAUUGCCCGGGGGCAGGGAGCAGCAGCGGCUGACCCUCCCCAGGUGCCAGAGUUGCCGCUGGGGAAGGGACCACAGAGCUGGGGCUGCCAUCGGCCACACAGGGCUUCAUUUUCAGCUGAAACCCCAGAUUCUGCAAAAUGUGAUGACAUGGGCACAUCACAUCGUGCUUCUUUGAGAUUUCACCCUUGCUGGGUAGAGGAUGGGAUUUCUUCAGAAGGGAGUGGACACCCACAUGCCAGAUGAGCAGGGAAGAGGUGGAUCUGGGGGCAGGAGAAGGGGGUUUGAGGUGGCCAGAAAGGGCAUUUCCUUCCCUUGGCCCUGGGGCCAUUGCCACCUGCCAUUGAGGUCUGCAGCAGGUGGAGGGCUCCCCUGUGGGGGGUCAGAAGGUGCCUCGGCUCCACAGCAUGGUGGUGGGUCUUGGGUGUGGCCUCUGCAUGGGCUCCUGAGAAAUCCUGGUGUGUAUCCGUGUCUGGGAACCAUUGAUUCAUGUAUUCCGUUUUAGGCAGCUCAUGUUGAUUAAGUGUCUACUGUAUGCCGCCACUGCUCUAGGAAUGCAAAUUGGCUGAGCCUGGUCCCUGCUGUGAGUGGUGAGUGCUCCAGGGUCACAGGUGACGAGGCAGAGCAGGGACAUGGCAUAGCGGGAUGGCCCCGGAGCUCAGCUGGGAUACACUCAGAAUUGGAAGGGAGAGAGAAAAUUGUAAGGAAACAGCCUAUGGGCUUGGGGAUCUGAAAGUAAUUCGGGGUGACCCAAGCCCUAAUUGGAGGCCUCAAGUGCUGAAGGUGGGCUGCAUCUUUGGGGGGCUCCACCAAGCAAAGGGUUCUGCAUCCACUGAGGAUGUGGAAAACAGUGAGAAGGCAGCACUCCAACCCCAACAACGAGAAAGAGCCAGAACAUCUACACAGUCCUAACUUCUCCUGAGUCCAUCAGAGCUGAAGUGGCUAGAGCCAGGCAAGCUGGGUUCCAGAGAGGGCCAGGCCUCUGAGGAGAGGGGGCUAUGUACGCUGACCCACUUUGGGCCAAGCACAGGGGAUGAGGCAGCUGCUGUGGAGGUGUAUGAGUAAAGUUGCUGCAAUUUUAACAAACCAGUUGACAAACCCCAUCAGCUGCCAUGGGAGGGGCAGGGAUGCUGGGAAAGCCCAGCACUGAGUGACAAGCAAGAAUGUGGAGGGUGGCCCCUCUGUGGCACAGCCCCCCAGGGUCAGGGAAAGCUGAGGAUGGAGCAGAGGCACUGAUGUAAACCCACUGGCAUGUAGCCACAUGAUGGAAUAUUACUCAGCCAUAAAAAAAAAAUGAAGUACUGAUACAGGACAUGAUGUGGAUGAACCCCGAAAAUGUUAUGCUCAGUGAAAAAAGCCAGACACAAAAGACCACAUAUUGUGCAACCACAGUUUUGUGAAAAGUGCAGAAUAGACAAAUCCAGAGGACAGAAAGUU